GCUCCCAUUUACACUCAACCUCGAUAUUUACAUCCUUCUAUAAUGCUUGAUGCUGAUGUCACAGACGGCGUUAUUGGUGAAGGUUGUGUAAUCAAGAACUGUAAAAUUCACCAUUCUGUGGUUGGACUUAGAUCAUGCAUAUCGGAGGGAGCAAUUAUA